rnacentral:misc_RNA from 1 species
GUUAAAGUUUAGGCGGCACAUGUCCGCUUCACAUUCAAAUCAAACUUGGAGUUUGUGAUCCGGCUCGGGACCACAGGGGCCCUCUGCCGACAAAAGUGCACGGUGGGUUUGCAAAGGUUGAGCGGCUCGGGCUCGCCCGCUGCACGUCCUUUCGGACGGAGCUGGGCGCACCCUCGCCGUCAGAGAUACGUUAAUGAUCCUUCCGCAGGUUCACCUACGGAAA